rnacentral:rRNA from 1 species
GAUGAACGCUGGCGGCGUGCCUAAUACAUGCAAGUCGAGCGAACAGACGAGGAGCUUGCUCCUCUGACGUUAGCGGCGGACGGGUGAGUAACACGUGGAUAACCUACCUAUAAGACUGGGAUAACUUCGGGAAACCGGAGCUAAUACCGGAUAAUAUAUUGAACCGCAUGGUUCAAUAGUGAAAGACGGUUUUGCUGUCACUUAUAGAUGGAUCCGCGCCGCAUUAGCUAGUUGGUAAGGUAACGGCUUACCAAGGCAACGAUGCGUAGCCGACCUGAGAGGGUGAUCGGCCACACUGGAACUGGGACACGGUCCAGACUCCUACGGGAGGCAGCAGUAGGGAAUCUUCCGCAAUGGGCGAAAGCCUGACGGGGCAACGCCGCGUGAGUGAUGAAGGUCUUCGGAUCGUAAAACUCUGUUAUUAGGGAAGAACAAAUGUGUAAGUAACUAUGCACGUCUUGACGGUACCUAAUCAGAAAGCCACGGCUAACUACGUG